UAGCAUAUUCUGAAGUUGGAGUGGCGCAAGGGUGCGUAACGCGUGGGCAAUUUGCCGUGAAGUUGGGGAUAACUCGCUGAAAGGCGAACUAAUACCGAAUGUGACUGUUUGGAGGCAUCUCUGAAUAGUUGAAGCUGGGGACCGCAAGGCCUGGCGCUUCAUGAUAAGCCCGCGACCUAUCAGCUAGUUGGUGAGGUAACGGCCCACCUAGGCUAAGACGGGUAGCUGGUCUGAGAGGACGACCAGCCACACUGGAACUGAGACACGGUCCAGACACCUACGGGUGGCAGCAGUCGAGAAUUUUCCUCAAUGAGCGAAAGCUUGAAGGAGCGACGCCGCGUGGGGGAUGAAGGGCUUCGGUCUGUAAACCCCUGUCAUUUGCGAACAAACCUUCUUACUUAAUAAGUAAGAAGCUGAUAGUAGUGAAAGAGGAAGGGACGGCUAACUCUGUGCCAGCAGCCGCGGUAAUACAGAGGUCCCAAGCGUUGUUCGGAUUCACUGGGCGUAAAGGGUGCGUAGGUGGCAAGGUAAGUUUGGUGUGAAAUCUCCGAGCUCAACUCGGAAACUGCAUUGAAUACUACUUGGCUUGAGGGUCGGAAGGGAGACUGGAAUUCUCGGUGUAGCGGUGAAAUGCGUAGAUAUCGAGAGGAACACCAGUGGCGAAAGCGAGUCUCUGGACGACACCUGACACUGAGGCACGAAAGCUAGGGGAGCAAACAGGAUUAGAUACCCUGGUAGUCCUAGCCGUAAACGGUGCACAUUUGCUGUAAAAGGAAUCGACCCCUUUUGUGGCGCAGCUAACGCGUUAAAUGUGCCGCCUGGGAAGUACGGUCGCAAGAUUAAAACUCAAAGAAAUUGACGGGGGCCUGCACAAGCGGUGGAGUAUGUGGCUUAAUUCGAUGCAACGCGAAGAACC
rnacentral:rRNA from 1 species